UACGUAGGGUGCAAGCGUUAUCCGGAAUUAUUGGGCGUAAAGAGCUCGUAGGCGGUUUGUCGCGUCUGCCGUGAAAGUCCGGGGCUCAACUCCGGAUCUGCGGUGGGUACGGGCAGACUAGAGUGCAGUAGGGGAGACUGGAAUUCCUGGUGUAGCGGUGAAAUGCGCAGAUAUCAGGAGGAACACCGAUGGCGAAGGCGGGUCUCUGGGCCGAUACUGACGCUGAGGAGCGAAAGCGUGGGGAGCGAACAGG
rnacentral:rRNA from 1 species